GAUGAACGCUGGCGGCGUGCCUAAUACAUGCAAGUCGAGCGAACAGACGAGGAGCUUGCUCCUCUGACGUUAGCGGCGGACGGGUGAGUAACACGUGGAUAACCUACCUAUAAGACUGGGAUAACUUCGGGAAACCGGAGCUAAUACCGGAUAACAUGUUGAACCGCAUGGUUCAACAGUGAAAGACGGUCUUGCUGUCGCUUAUAGAUGGAUCCGCGCCGCAUUAGCUAGUUGGUAAGGUAACGGCUUACCAAGGCAACGAUGCGUAGCCGACCUGAGAGGGUGAUCGGCCACACUGGAACUGAGACACGGUCCAGACUCCUACGGGAGGCAGCAGUAGGGAAUCUUCCGCAAUGGGCGAAAGCCUGACGGAGCAACGCCGCGUGAGUGAAGAAGGUCUUCGGAUCGUAAAACUCUGUUAUUAGGGAAGAACAAAUGUGUAAGUAGCUAUGCACGUCUUGACGGUACCUAAUCAGAAAGCCACGGCUAACUACGUG
rnacentral:rRNA from 1 species